rnacentral:rRNA from 1 species
AUUGAACGCUGGCGGCAUGCUUUACACAUGCAAGUCGAACGGCAGCGCGGGCUUCGGCCUGGCGGCGAGUGGCGAACGGGUGAGUAAUACAUCGGAACGUGCCCAGUAGUGGGGGAUAGCUCGGCGAAAGCCGGAUUAAUACCGCAUACGACCUGAGGGUGAAAGCGGGGGAUCUUCGGACCUCGCGCUAUUGGAGCGGCCGAUGGCAGAUUAGCUAGUUGGUGGGGUAAAGGCCUACCAAGGCGACGAUCUGUAGCUGGUCUGAGAGGACGACCAGCCACACUGGGACUGAGACACGGCCCAGACUCCUACGGGAGGCAGCAGUGGGGAAUUUUGGACAAUGGGCGAAAGCCUGAUCCAGCACUGCCGCGUGUGUGAUGAAGGCCUUCGGGUUGUAAAGCACUUUUGGCGGGAACGAAAAGGACUGUGCCAAUACCACGGUUCGAUGACGGUACCCGCAGAAUAAGCACCGGCUAACUACGUG